UACGUAGGGGGCAAGCGUUGUCCGGAUUUAUUGGGCGUAAAGAGCGUGUAGGCGGCCAGGUAGGUCCGUUGUGAAAACUCGAGGCUCAACCUCGAGACGCCGAUGGAAACCAUCUGGCUAGAGUCCGGAAGAGGAGAAUGGAAUUCCCGGUGUAGCGGUGAAAUGCGCAGAUAUCGGGAAGAACACCCGUGGCGAAGGCGGUUCUCUGGGACGGUACUGACGCUGAGACGCGAAAGCGUGGGGAGCGAACAGG
rnacentral:rRNA from 1 species